UACGGAGGGUGCUAGCGUUGUUCGGAAUCACUGGGCGUAAAGGGCGUGUAGGCGGUCUGUUAAGUCUGAUGUGAAAUCCCCUCGCUCAACGAGGGAACUGCGUCGGAUACUGGCAGACUUGAGUACCGGAGAGGAAGGUGGAAUUCCCGGUGUAGCGGUGAAAUGCGUAGAUAUCAGGAAGAACACCAAUGGCGUAAGCAGCUUUCUGGGACGGUACUGACGCUGAGACGCGAAAGCGUGGGGAGCGAACAGG
rnacentral:rRNA from 1 species